UGGAUUUUUAAUUUUCUUAGACAUAAGGGCGACCUAGUCGCUUCGGUAAGCACAACCCACCUAAAUUCGCUCUCCGAUUGCUCGUAGUCACUUGCAAUCGGCCUUCCGCGGCACUCGUGACCCGGUUCGGCCCGAACUCUCGCGCGACCACCCGAACGGCCACCAAUCCGCGAUACGUCUGUUCUGGAGUUUAUUCCUCAAUACAACGAUGCUCCAGAUCCGUUUUCGUGAUUUUUG
rnacentral:lncRNA from 1 species